rnacentral:rRNA from 1 species
ACGGCGAGUGAAGCGGCAAAAGCUCAAAUUUUAAAGCUGACAUCUUCGGUGUCCGCGUUGUAAUUUUGUGAGGCAUCUCCGGGUAGGGCGCCGGCCUAAGUUCCUUGGAACAGGACGUCACAGAGGGUGAGAAUCCCGUGCUUGGCUGGCUGUCCCCGUCCAUGUGAGGUGUCUUCGACGAGUCGAGUUGUUUGGGAAUGCAGCUCAAAAUGGGUGGUAAAUUUCAUCUAAAGCUAAAUAUUGGUGGGAGACCGAUAGCGCACAAGUAGAGUGAUCGAAAGAUGAAAAGCACUUUGAAAAUAGAGUUAAAAAGUACGUGAAAUUGUUGAAAGGGAAGCGCUUGAGACCAGACUUCGGUAAGGGGUGAUCAGCUGUCCUUUUGGGCGGUGCACUUGCCCCCCUCCGGGCCAGCAUCGGUUGAGGCGGCGGGAUAAAGGUCCCGGGAAUGUGGCUCCUUCACGGGAGUGUUAUAGCCCGGGUGAAUGCCGCCAGCUUCGACCGAGGACCGCACCCGCAAGGGUUAGGAUGCUUG